GAUGAACGCUGGCGGCGUGCCUAAUACAUGCAAGUCGAGCGAACAGACGAGGAGCUUGCUCCUCUGACGUUAGCGGCGGACGGGUGAGUAACACGUGGAUAACCUACCUAUAAGACUGGUAUAACUUGGGGAAACCGGAGCUAAUACCGGAUAAUAUACUGAACCGCAUGGUUCAAUAGUGAAAGACGGUUUUGCUGUCACUUAUAGAUGGAUCCGCGCCGCAUUAGCUAGUUGGUAAGGUAACGGCUUACCAAGGCAACGAUGCGUAGCCGACCUGAGAGGGUGAUCGGCCACAGUGGAACUGAGACACGGUCCAGACUCCUACGGGAGGCAGCAGUAGCGAAGCUUCCGCAAUGGGCGAAAGCCUGACGGAGCGACGCCGCGUGAGUGAUGAAGGUCUUCGGAUCGUAAAACUCUGUUAGUAGGGAAGAACAAAUGUGUAAGUAACUAUGCACGUCUUGACGGUACCUAAUCAGAAAGCCACGGCUAACUACGU
rnacentral:rRNA from 1 species